UUGCUACUUGUAAAUUAUAGUUACUACUAU
rnacentral:sRNA from 1 species